GACGAACGCUGGCGGCGUGCUUAACACAUGCAAGUCGAACGGAAAGGCCUUUUCGGAGGUACUCGAGUGGCGAACGGGUGAGUAACACGUGGGUGAUCUGCCCUGCACUCUGGGAUAAGCCUGGGAGACUGGGUCUAAUACCGGAUAGGACCGCACUUUAGUGUGUGUGGUGGAAAGUUUUUUCGGUGUAGGAUGAGCCCGCGGCCUAUCAGCUUGUUGGUGGGGUAAUGGCCUACCAAGGCGGCGACGGGUAGCCGGACUGAGAGGUUGGUCGGCCACAUUGGGACUGAGAUACGGCCCAGACUCCUACGGGAGGCAGCAGUGGGGAAUAUUGCACAAUGGGCGCAAGCCUGAUGCAGCGACGCCGCGUGGGGGAUGACGGCCUUCGGGUUGUAAACUCCUUUCGCCAGGGACGAAGCGUUUUGUGACGGUACCUGGAGAAGAAGCACCGGCUAACUACGUG
rnacentral:rRNA from 1 species